rnacentral:lncRNA from 1 species
UGAGUUUGUAGUUCAGCAAUCUUUGAGUAGUCAUAUCUUUUGCAUUACAACUCCAAAUCAAGAGAUUUUUGGACCUACUUGUAGCUUGAGAUGGCAUCUUUUGAGAGUGAUAGCUUAAGAAUGGUAGAAAAGUUUAGAGGUGACAACUUUCACCACUGGAAGGCCAAAAUGGAGCUACUUUUGGCAUCAUUGGAUCUUUGGGAGAUAGUAUGUGAGGAGGAAGAGGCACCUGGAUUAGAGGCAAGCAUGAAGGAGCAAAAGGACUUCAAAAGACGAGAGAAGAAGGCUUUUGGCAUAAUUGCCACCAACUUAGAUGAAACCAACUUUGCUCAUGUCAUUUCUUGCACAGGAGCAGCAGAUGCAUGGAAGACUCUUUGCAAUGUCUAUGAGAGUAGGAAUCUUUCCAAUGUGCUAUGGUCAAGGCAAAAGUUCUUCACCGUGAAGAUGGAAGAAGGUGAAGAUCUCAUCGCUCAUGUAAAUAAGGUAAAAGCACUUGCAAAUCAACUUGCUGUUGUUGACAAGCCUUUACUUGAAGAAGAUGUUGUGAUGACAUUGCUCUCAAGCCUUCCGGACUCCUAUUCUUCCCUCAUUGUGGCAUUGGAGUCCAUUUCAAGGAAAGACCUCACUUUGGACUAUGUCACGGCAAGACUAGCUCAUGAAGUGACCAAAAGAAAGCAAAAGGAGUCUAUUGGGGAGCAAUCAGCACUAUUUACAAGACCAAGUAAGGCAAGUGCCCCUUUUCAACGUUAUCCUCCUAAAACUUGUUACAUUUGAGGAAAACCAGGCCAUUUUGCUAGAAAUUGUUUCAAGGCAAAGAGAGGAGAAAGAGAGAAUGCCAACAAUGCUUUUCAUGACCAUGGAGGUGAAUACUUUGCAUUCAUGGCAAAACAAACGCCUUCCAUGUUUGAUAUGAGCAAAUGGAUUGUGGAUUUCGGAUGUACCAAACACAUGACUCCAUACAAGUGUUCAUUUAACACUUAUCAACCAAUUCAAGCAACCAAAGUUUGGUUAGGUGAUAAUUGUAUGGUACAAGCCAUUGGAAUAGGCACCAUUGUAGUGGAGGUGGUGGUGAAGGGCAUAAGCAAGAGAAUCACUCUCAAGGAUGUGUUGCAUGUGCCAAAGAUGAAGAAGAACCUCCUUUCGGUGAGUAAACUUGUAACUCAUGGAUACAAAGUACAAUUUAACAUGAAUGGAUGUUUUGUGAGAACCAAGGAAGGCAAUGAAGUAGCAAAAGGGACUAGGAAUGGCAAUCUCUAUAUAAUUAAUUGUAAGAGGAUCAAUAGAGUGGAGGUUGCUGCCUUUGCUGAAUUUCCAUCAAGUGAAGAAAAGAUGGGCAUUUGGCAUCAAAGACUUGGGCAUUUCAAUGCCGAAAGUAUGAAGGGGCUUGAAUCCUAGGUAAAUGGCAUAGACCUUGGCCAUUCUACGAUGAAUCUUGCUUGUGAGGGAUGCAUUCAAGGCAAACAACAUAGGACACCAUUUCCUAGAGGAGUUUCAACAAGAGCAAACCAAUUGCUGGAGCUUGAGCAUUCGGAUGUUUGUGGAUCCAUGAGGACACCAUCUAUGAGUGGUAGUGAAAAGUGGGAGAUGUGUCCAAGUGGGAGUAGUGGUGUGUUUGUGGACACAUCUUCAAUUCCAACAAGCAAACAAGAAGAUAAAGAAGUGCAUUCUCAAAGUGAAGAAGGAGAGGAAGUUGCCAUGAUAGAAGAGCCCAAUACUAUGAAGACUUCAAUUCCAGCAAGAUACAAUAAGGACAAUGAAGAGAAUGAAGAUGAAGAAUACCAACAAAUGAGUAAGAGAAAGCACUCCAUGAGUCAUACAAGGCAGCAAGAGGUGCAAGAAGGCUCAUCUUCUUUGCAUGAAAGAAGAUAUCCAAGAUGUGAGAAAAGACCACAAGGUGAAUGGUGAAAGAACCACAUCUUUCCACAACAAUUGGAUGUAAGUGGGUGCUUAGAACCAAGAGAGAUGCAAACGAUUGAAGGUCAAGAAUGGGCUAUGUAUUCUUUGUUUGAGUGGGAGCCAUAUCUUCUAAUUGCAAGAGACAACCAAACAUUGCAAGGUCCACAAUAGGGGCAGAGUAUUUGGCAGUAAGUCAUAAAGCAAUGGAGGCAAUUUGGUUAAGGUUGUUAUUGGAAGAUAUUGGACUUGUGCAAUUGGAGGCUACUCCAUUGAGAUGUGAGAAUUAAAGAUGUCUUGCUUUUGGAAAGAAUCCAAAGCAUCAUGCAAGAACUAAGUACAUUGAUAUUCAGCAUCAUUUCAUAAGAGAGAAGAUAGAGAUGGAGGUUAUUGAUAUGAUGUAUUGUGAAACCAAAGACAUGUUGGCUGAUUUGUUGACAAAAGCCUUAGUUAGAGAAGGACACAACAAGUUGAGUAAGGCAUUAGGAUUGAUAGCUAAUUGACCAAUAGCAAAGUGGGAGUGUUGAGAAAAGAACUCUUUAAGUAGUUGCUAAUGGUCAAUAGAGUAAAAGUGUUGUUAAGGAUAUCCCAUAAGGUAGGGUGCUGGUCUAUAGUACAAGGGGAGGGCUGGACCUAGGAGAUAUCCCAUAUGGAUUGUAGCACUUGGUAUUGAAACAUAGAAAGCAUACUCCACACAAGUAAGUAAAGACCAGCAAGGUUGCACUAUAACAAAUAGAGUGUGGUAUGAGAUAAUUCUUCCCAUGCCAACCCUUUCCUUAUAUACUAGUACCAAGGGACCAAGUGCUACAUAUUGAAACAUAAAAACCAAACUCCACACAAGCAAGUUAGGACCAGCAAGGUUGCACUUCACAAAUAGAAUGUGGUAUGAGAUAAUUCUUCCCAUGCCAACCCUUUUCUUAUAUACUAGUACCAAGGUACCAUGUGUUACAACCCAUAUGGGAUAUCUCUUAGGACCAGCCCUCUCCUUGUAUUCUAAGGCACUAUAGACCAGCAACUAACCUUGUAGGAUAUCCCUCAUUACUCAUAUACUCUAUUGACCAUUAGCAACAAUUAAAUGAGUUCUUUCCUUCAACACUCCCACUUUGCUACUGGUCAAUUAGCUAUCAAUCCUAAUGCCUUACUCAAUAUGUUGUGUCUCUCUUUCACCAAGGCUUUUGUUAGAAAAUCAGCCAACAUGUCUUUGUUAGAAAAUCAGCCAACAAGUUUGCUUCUCAUACUAUCUGGAACUUUAGCAUAUGCAAUGCAUCCAAAAAUCCUCAUAUGAGAUAAACAAGGUUUCUUACCCGUCCAAGCUUCUUCGGGAGUCAUUCCUUCAAGAGCACUUGUGGGACACCUAUUUCUUGUAUAUACGGCAUUUACCACAGCUUCCGCCCAAUACUCAUAUCCAAGCUUCUGAGCAUGAAUCAUACUCCUUGCCAUCUCCACAAUGGUGCGAUUUGCUCUUUCAGCAACUCCAUUUUGUUGUGGGGUAUAGGGAGUGGAGGUUUGUCUUGCAAUGCCUUCAUGCUUCAAUAACUCAUCAAAGUCUUUGGACAAAUACUCACCUCCAUUGUCCGAUCGCAGCACCUUAAUCUUGUGCUCACAUUGCUUCUCCACAAGUGCUUUCCACUCCUUAAACUUAGCAAAACACUCACUUUUGGCCUUGAUGAUAUAAAUCCAUACCUUCCUUGAAAAGUCAUCAAUAAAUGUGACAAAAUAUCUUGCUCCACUCAUAGAUGGUGUUUUCAUGGGUCCACAAACAUCAGAAUGCACAAGCUCCAGCAAUUGAUUUGCUCUUGUUGCAAUUCCACUAGGAAAUGGUGUCCUAUGUUGUUUGCCUUGAAUGCAACCUUCAGAAGAUAGAUUCAUAGUAGAAUGGCCAAGGUCUAAGCCACUUACCAUGGAUUGAAGCUCCUUCAUGCUUCUGGCAUUCAAAUGUCCAAGUCUUUGAUGCCAAAUGCCCACCUUAUCUUCAUUUGAUGGAAAUUCAGCAAAAGCAGCAACCUCUACUCCAUUGAUGCGCUUGCAAUUGAUAAUAUAGAGAUUGCCAUCUCUAAUCCCUUUUGCUACUUCUUUGCCUUCCAUGGUUCUCACAAAACAUCCAUUCAUAUUGAAUUGCACUUUGCACCCAUGACUUACAAGUUUACUCACCGAAAGGAGGUUCUUCUUCAUCUUUGGCACAUGCAACACAUCCUUGAGUGUGAUCCUCUUGCUUAUGCCCUUAACCACUACUUCCACUACAAUGGUGCCCAUUCCAAUGGCUUGUACCAUACCAUUAUCACCUAACCAAACCUUAGUUGCUCGAAUUUGUUGAUAAGUGUUAAAUGAACACUUGUAUGGAGUCAUGUGUUUGGUACAUCCAGAAUCCACGAUCCAUUUGCUCAUAUCAAGCAUGGAAGAAGUUUGUUUUGCCAUGAAUGCAAAGUCAUCACCUCCAUGGUCAUGAAAAGCAUUAUUGGCAUUCUCUCUUUCUCCUCUCUUUGCCUUGAAACAAUUCCUAGCAAAAUGCCCUGGUUUUCCACAAAUAUAACCAAUUUUGGGAAGAUUAAGUUGAAUGGAAGUACUUGCCUUACUUGGUCUCGUGAAUAGUGCUGAUUGCUCUCCAAUAGACUCCUUUUGCUUUCUUUUGGUCACUUCAUGGGCUAGUCUUGCCGUGACAUAGUCCAAAGUAAGAUCUUUUCUUGAAAUUGACUCCAAUGCCACAAUGAGGGAGGAAUAGGAGUCCGGAAGGCUUGAGAGCAAUGUCAUCACAACAUCUUCUUCAGGUAAAGGCUUGUCAAUAACAGCAAGUUGGUUUGCAAGUGCUUUUACCUUAUUUACAUGAGCCAUGAGAUCUUCACCUUCUUCCAUCUUCACGGUGAAGAAUUUUUGCCUUGACCAUAGUACAUUGGAGAGAUUUCUACUCUCAUAGACGUUGCAAAGAGUCUUCCAUGCCUCUGCUGCCCCUUUGCAAGAAAUAACAUGAGCAAAGUUGCUCUCAUCUAAAUUGGUGGCAAUUAUGCCAAAAGCCUUCUUUUCUCGUCUUUUGAACUCCUUAUGCUCCUUGAUGCUUGCCUCUACUCCAGGUGCCUCUUCCUCCUCACAUACAAUCUCCCAAAGAUCCAAUGACGCCAAAAGUAGCUCCAUUUUGGCCUUCCAGUGGUGAAAGUUGUCACCUUUGAACUUUUCAACCAUUCUCAAGCUAUCACCCUCAAAAGAUGCCAUCUCAAGCUACACGUAGGUCCAAAAAACUCUUGAUUUGGAGUUGUAAUGGAGAAGAUAUCACUACUCAAAGAUCGCUGAACCACAAACCCAGAAUUCGCUGUUUUGCAACUUUUUGUAAAUUAUGAGUCCAAAUCACGUCUAAAUGGUGGGGAAUGAAUUGUAAAGUAAUUCUAUGGCUCUCAUAAGUCUCCCUCACGUCACUCCACUCAAAAUGACUCACUAUCUCAUGAAACUUUCAAACACUAGUGUUACUUCAGCAAAGACACUAUCAAGGUCUUGCACAAAACUCAUAUACUCACAAAUCCAGGAGCAAUGACUUCAACAACACACUAGCAACACUCUACCAUAAGAUCCCAACCACCAAAGUAAGCAACAAAGAAAAUAAUGCAAGAACAACUUACUUGGUAAGAGAGUGUGGGCCCAUAACCUAUUGAAACAUAGAAACCAAACUCCACACAAGCAAGUUAGGACCAGCAAGGUUGCACUUCACAAAUAGAAUGUGGUAUGAGAUAAUUCUUCCCAUGCCAACCCUUUUCUUAUAUACUAGUACCAAGGUACCAUGUGUUACAACCCAUAUGGGAUAUCUCUUAGGACCAGCCCUCUCCUUGUAUUCUAAGGCACUAUAGACCAGCAACUAACCUUGUAGGAUAUCCCUCAUUACUCAUAUACUCUAUUGACCAUUAGCAACAACUAAAUGAGUUCUUUCCAUCAACACUACAAUCCAUAUGGGAUAUCUCCUAGGACCAGCCCUCCCUUUGUACUCUAAUGUACUAUAGACCAGCACCCUACCUUAUGGGAUGUCCUUAACAACACUUGUACUCUAUUGACCAUUAGCAACUACUUAAAGAGUUCUACUCUCAACACUCCCACUUUGCUAUUGGUCAAUUAGCUAUCAAUCCUAAUGCCUUACUCAACUUGUUGUGUCCUUCUCUAACUAAGGCUUUUCUAAACAAAUCAGCAAACAUGUCUUUGGUUUCACAAUACAUCAUAUCAAUAACCUCCAUCUCUAUCUUCUCUCUUAUGAAAUGAUGCUGAAUAUCAAUGUACUUAGUUCUUGCAUGAUGCUUUGGAUUCUUUCCAAAAGCAAGACAUCCUUGAUUGUCAGACCUCAAUGGAGUAGCUUCAAAUUGCACAAGUCCAAUAUCUUCCAAUAACAACCUCAACCAAAAUGCCUCCAUUGCUUCAUGACUUGCUGCCAAAUACUCCGCCCCUAUUGUGGACCAUGUAAUGUUUGGUUGUCUAUUGCUAUUCAAAGAUAUGGCUCCCACUCAAACAAAGAAUACAUAGUCCAAUGUUGACCUUCAAUCGUUUGCAUCUCUCUUAGUUCUAAGCACCCACUUACAUCCAAUUGUUGUGGAAAGAUGUGGUUCUUUCACCAUUCACCUUGUUGUCUUCUUUUACGUGUUGGAUAUCUUCUCUCAUGCAAAGAAGAUGAGCCUUCUUGCACCUCUUGCUGACUUGUAUGACUCAUGGAGUGCUUUCUCUUACUCAUUUGUUGGUAUUCUUCAUCUUCAUUCUCUUCAUUGUCCUUGUUGUAUCUUGCUGGAAUUGAAGUCUUCAUAGUAUUGGGCUCUUCUAUCAUGGCAACUUCCUCUUCUUCUUCACUUUGGGAAUACUCUUCUUCAUCUUGUUGUUUGUUUGUUGGAAUUGAAGAUGUGUCCACAAACACACCACUACUCCCACUUGGACACAUCUCCCACUUUUCACUACCACUCAUAGAUGGUGUCCUCAUGGAUCCACAAACAUCCGAAUGCACAAGCUCCAGCAAUUGGUUUGCUCUUUUGCAACUCCUCUAGGAAAUGGUGUCCUAUGUUGUUUGCCUUGAAUGCAUCCCUCACAAGCAAGAUUUAUGAUAGAAUGGCCAAGGUCUAUGCCAUUUACCUUGGAUUGAAAUCCCUUCAUGCUUUUGGCAUUCAAAUGCCCAAGUCUUUGAUGCCAAAUGCCCAUCUUCUCUUCAUAUGAUGGAAAUUCAGCAAAGGCAGCAACCUCCACUCCAUUGAUCCUCUUGCAAUUGAUAAUAUAGAGAUUGCCAUUCCUAGUCCCUUUUGCUACUUCUUUGCCUUUCAUGGUUCUCACAAAACAUCCAUUCAUGUUAAAUUGCACUUUGUACCCAUGAGUUACAAGUUUACUCACCGAAAGGAGGUUCUUCUUCAUCUUUGGCACAUGCAACACAUCCUUGAGAGUGAUUCUCUUGCUUAUGCCCUUCACCACCGCCUCCACUAUAAUGGUGCCUAUUCCAAUGGCUUGUACCAUACAAUUAUCACCUAACCAAACCUUGGUUGCUUGAAUUGGUUGAUAAGUGUUAAAUGAACACUUGUAUGGAGUCAUGUGUUUGGUACAUCCGGAAUCCACAAUCCAUUUGCUCAUAUCAAACAUGGAAGGAGUUCGUUUUGCCAUGAAUACAAAGUCUUCACCUCCAUGGUCAUGCAAAGCAUUGUUGGCAUUCUCUCUUUCUCCUUUCUUUACGUUGAAACAAUUUCUAGCAAAAUGGCCUGGUUUUCCACAAAUGUAACAAGUUUAAAGAGGAUAACGUUGAAAAGUGGCACUUGCCUUACUUGGUCUUGUAAAUAGUGCUGAUUGCUCCCCAAUAGACUCCUUUUGCUUUCUUUUGGUCACUUCAUGGGCUAAUCUUGCCGUGACAUAGUCCAAAGUGAGGUCUUUCCUUGAAAUGGACUCUAAUGCCACAAUGAGGGAGGAAUAGGAGUCCGGAAGGCUUGAGAGCAAUGUCAUCACAACAUCUUCUUCAAGUAAAGGCUUGUCAACAAUUGCAAGUUGGUUUGCAAGUGCUUUUACCUUAUUUACAUGAGCCAUGAGAUCUUCACCUUCUUCCAUCUUCAUUGUGAAGAACUUUUGCCUUGACCAUAGCACAUUGGAAAGAUUCCUACUCUCAUAGACAUUCCAAAGAGUCUUCCAUGCAUCUGCUGCUCCUUUGCAAGAAAUGACAUGAGCAAAGUUGGUUUCAUCUAAGUUGGUGGCAAUUAUGCCAAAAGCCUUCUUUUUUCGUCUUUUGAAGUCCUUUAGUUCCUUCAUGCUUGCCUCUAAUCCAGGUGCCUCUUCCUCCUCACAUACUAUCUCCCAAAGCUCCAAUGACGCCAAAAGUAGCUCCAUUUUGGCCUUCCAGUGGUGAAAGUUGUCACCUCUAAACUUUUCUACCAUUCUUAAGCUAUCACUCUCAAAAGAUGCCAUCUCAAGCUACAAGUAGGUCCAAAACUCUCUUGAUUUGGAUUUGUAAUGCAAAAGAUAUGACUACUCAAAGAUUGCUGAAUUACAAACUCAGAAUUCGCUGUUUUGCAACUUUUUGCAUACUUUGAGUCCAAACCACGUCUAAAUGGUGGAAAAUGCUAUGUCAUGUAAUUCUAUGGCUUUCAAACAUCUCCCUCACAUCACCUCACUCAAAAUGACUCAAUUUCUCAUAAAACUCUCAAAUACUAGUGUUACUUCAGCAAAGACACUAUCAAGGUCUUGCACUAACCUCAUACACUCACAAAUUCAGGAGUAAUGACUUCAACAAAACACUAGUAAUACUAUACCAUAAGAUCUCAACCACCAAACAAGCAACAAAGAAAAUAAAAUGCAAGAACAACUUACUUGGUAAGAGAAUGUGGGCCCAUAACCUACUGAAACAUAGAAAGCAUACUCCACACAAGUAAGUUAGGACCAGCAAGGUUGCACUAUAACAAAUAGAGUGUGGUAUGAGAUAAUACUUACCAUGCCAAUCCUUUCUUUAUAUACUAGUACCAAGGUACCAUGUGCUACAAUUCAUAUGGGAUAUGUCCUAUGACCAGCCCUACCCUUGUACUCUAAUGUACUAUAGACCAGCACCCUACCUUAUGGGAUAUCCUUAACAACACUUGUACUCUAUUGACCAUUAGCAACUACUUAAAGAGUUCUUUUCUCAACAUGCUUAAUGUGAUGGGAUUUGAUUCUCUACUUUUUUUGAAUUCCACACCCAAAUAAUAAUGGAGCUCUCCCAAAUCACUCAUCUCAAACUCUCUCUCCGAUUUCUUCUUCAACCAAUCCAAUCUUAUGAUGGUGUUGCUUAAGAUGAUUAAAUCAUCUAUAUAGAGGAUCACAACCAGCAAGAAGUCCUUUGCUUGCAAUACAUACAAAGAAUGGUGAGCUUCACUCCUUACAAAAUCUUCCUUAAUAAAGAAUGAAUCAAUGCGUUGGUACCAUGCUCUUGGUGAUUGCUUGAGUCCAUACAAUGACUUCUUCAACUUGCAUACAAGGUUGGGUUUGUCUUGAUCAAUAAAUCCUUGAGGUUGCUCCAUGUAGAUGUCUUCUUCCAAUUCUCCAUUCAAGAUUGCUGUCUUGACGUCCAUUUGAUGCAUCUCAAGGUUUAUUGAUGCUCCAAUUGCUACUAUGGUUCUAAGGGUGGUGAACAUGGCCACGGGUGCAAAUGUCUCACAAAAGUCCACUCCAACAACUUGUGAGUAGCCUUUCGCAACCAAUCUUGCCUUGUACCUCACAACAUUGCCCAUAGUAUCUCUCUUCGUUCUAAACACCCACUUACAUCCAAUUGCUGAUCAAUUUGGUGGAAGUGGAGUCAACUCCCAUGUUUCAUUGUCCAUAAGAGAUUUGUAUUCUUCUUGCAUGGCAAUCUUCCACUUCAUUGCAUCACCACACUUCAUUGCACCACACACAAUCAAUAGAUCAUCAAGAAUAGCAACAUUUGUAUGGUCUUCACUUACUUGUGGAAAGAUGUGGUUCUUCCUGUUGAAAGAAAGUACUCUUCAAGUAGUUGCUAAUGGUCAAAUAGAAUAUAUGUAUUUUUAGAAAUAUCCCAUAAUGUUAGUUGCUGGUCCAUAAUGCCUUAGAGUACAACGGUAGGGCUGUUUCUAGGUGAUAUCCCAUAUGGGUUGUAGCACUUGGUACCUUCAUACAAGAAUAUAAGCAAGAGAUUGGAAUGAGAAGAAUUAUCUCAUACCACACUUGAUUUGUGAAGUGCAACCUUGCUGGUCCUAACUUGCUUGUGUGGAGUUUAAUUUCUAUGUUUCAAUAGGUUAUGGGCCCACAUUCUCUUACCAAAUAAGUUGUUCUUGCAUUUUAUUUUCUUUGUUGCUUGUUUGGUGGUUGAGAUCUUAUUGUAUAGUAUUACUAGUGUUUUGUUGAAGUCAUUACUCCUGGAUUUGUGAGUGUAUGAGGUUAGUGCAAGACCUUGAUAGUGUCUUUGCUGAAGUAACACUAGUAUUUGAGAGUUUUAUGAGAAAUUGAGUCAUUUUGAGUGAGGUGAUGUAAGGGAGAUGUUUGAAAGCCAUAGAAUUACAUGACAUAGCAUUUUCCACCAUUUAGACGUGGUUUGGACUCAAAGUAUGCAAAAAGUUGCAAAACAGCGAAUUCUGAGUUUGUAAUUCAGCAAUUUUUGAGUAGUCAUAUCUUUUGCAUUACAAAUCCAAAUCAAGAGAUUUUUGGACCUACUUGUAGCUUGAGAUGGCAUCUUUUGAGAGUGAUAGCUUUAGAAUGGUAGAAAAGUUUAGAGGUGACAACUUUCACCACUGGAAGGCCAAAAUGGAGCUACUUUUGGCGUCAUUGGAGCUUUGGGAGAUAGUAUCUGAGGAGGAAGAGGCACCUGGAUUAGAGGCAAGCAUGAAGGAGCAAAAGGACUUCAAAAGACGAGAAAAGAAGGCUUUUGGCAUAAUUGCCACCAACUUAGAUGAAACCAACUUUGUUCAUGUCAUUUCUUGCAAAGGAGCAGCAGAUGCAUGGAAGACUCUUUGCAAUGUCUAUGAGAGUAG